GAUAUAGGUGAUCCCACGAGAUCCAUUCCUUACGUCUGUCUUAAUGUGUCAGAAUUAGUACAUAACGAGAAUUUUACAUACCUCGAGCGACAAAUUGCUAACAAUGUUUUCACAAGCUUCACAAAGUUGGUUCCUUGUAAUGGACUGGAAUAUUUAACGGGGUUUACAGAAAUCCGUAGGCAGAAUGAUAUGCGGUGAGAGGCCCGUAGCUGGAUGGGCCACUGGCCAGGGGAUCUCCUGUGAGGCUGGAUGCUCUGCCACAGACAGACAGCAGAAUGGACUGCUGGAUUCAUUCCCUGUGGGAAAGUGAGGAGUUUGGAAAUCUGGAGGGACCUUGAAACAGAGAUGCUGCUCCCUCAGGUCCAGAUGAAUCAGCUGAGCUGGCUGCUACUGCGAUGGGUCCUAAGGAAGCAGCUCUGGGCAGAGGCCCCACAGAAGAUGCCAGAAUGAUUAAAUCUCCCAGCUGGCUUGGAAAUGCCUGGAGAUCCACCAGAAUGAGCCUCGGAAAGAAUGAUUUGGCCUGAUAUUCUCAGGAUGCUGUUGUCUCACCAGAAGGAGAUGUAUGAAGAUGGAUGGAUGGAUUAUUUGAAAUUAAUUUUAGUUAACAUCUUAUAUCUAAUCACUGUA